UACACUCCUGCGGGAGGCAGCAGUGGGGAAUUUUGGACAAUGGGCGAAAGCCUGAUCCAGCAAUGCCGCGUGAGUGAAGAAGGCCUUCGGGUUGUAAAGCUCUUUUGUCAGGGAAGAAACGGUGAGAGCUAAUAUCUCUUGCUAAUGACGGUACCUGAAGAAUAAGCACCGGCUAACUACGUGCCAGCAGCCGCGGUAAUACGUAGGGUGCAAGCGUUAAUCGGAAUUACUGGGCGUAAAGCGUGCGCAGGCGGUUUUGUAAGUCUGAUGUGAAAUCCCCGGGCUCAACCUGGGAAUUGCAUUGGAGACUGCAAGGCUAGAAUCUGGCAGAGGGGGGUAGAAUUCCACGUGUAGCAGUGAAAUGCGUAGAUAUGUGGAGGAACACCGAUGGCGAAGGCAGCCCCCUGGGUCAAGAUUGACGCUCAUGCACGAAAGCGUGGGGAGCAAACAGGAUUAGAAACCCGAGUAGUCCC
rnacentral:rRNA from 1 species